UACGUAGGGGGCAAGCGUUGUCCGGAUUUAUUGGGCGUAAAGAGCGUGUAGGCGGCUUUACAUGUCCGUUGUGAAAACUCGAGGCUCAACCUGUGAAUGCCGCUGGAAACUGUCUGGCUAGAGUCCGGAAGGGGCGAGUGGAAUUCCUGGUGUAGCGGUGAAAUGCGCAGAUAUCAGGAGGAACACCAAUGGCGAAGGCGGCCUGCUGGGCAGUUACUGACACUGAUGCGCGACAGCGUGGGGAGCAAACAGG
rnacentral:rRNA from 1 species